rnacentral:lncRNA from 1 species
AUCAUGCGUGGUGGAUUACUUUCAUUCUAUUCUAUUCCUAAGAAAUGAAAGGAAAACAAACAAUGAAAUGAAAAUUAAAUUGCAAGACAUGAAGUAAACAUUCAAAGAAAAAAACAGUAAACCUAAUCAUGCAAUCCUAGAGAAUAUAUAAAAAGAAAACAAUCGAGAAAGAAAAGAAACCCGCAACUCGUCGGGUUUUAUACAAUGCAAGGAACCGACACACAUGUCAAGAAAACAAAUAGUACAUGACAAUGGUCGGAAUGGACAUCGACCUCCACCAUCUUCACGCCUUACACCUUCUCCAUCUUCGGGGUCCUAAUCUAAACCUAGCUUAGGAAACUUCUAGCUAAAUGCAUACAAUGGAAAGAGACGAGCAAACGCAUCAAAACAAUCAAAAGCAAGACAUUUUUUAUAUUUAAAAAAAGUGACUAAAGUCACAAGGUCUCUGGAUCAAAUUCUAGGUGAUAUCCCAAAUAAAUCUCAUAGAGACACUAUCAUCAUAUCAACACAUGAAUUUCUAAAAUCUAAAAAAAACAAGUCAAUCCAGAAUAGAGCAUAGUAACN